UACGUAGGAUGCAAGCGUUAUCCGGAUUCACUGGGUUUAAAGGGUGUGCAGGUGGGGUAAUAAGUCAGUGGUGAAAGCCCCCGACUCAAUCGGGGAACUGCCAUAGAUACUGUUAUUCUUGAGUGUGGUUGAGGCGGAUGGAAUAUGACAUGUAGCGGUGAAAUGCUUAGAUAUGUCAUAGAACACCGAUCGCGAAGGCAGUCCGCCAAACCAUUACUGACACUGAAACACGAAAGUGCGGGGAUCAAACAGG
rnacentral:rRNA from 1 species